CUUAAGGGCAGAACUUUGUAUUUCCCUUUAAGUUUCCUGAGGCUUCUGUUAGGCAGUUUCUCCAGCCCAGUGGGGUUCCUCUGAACGGCAGCCCUGCCCAGUGUGUCAGCCAUUCCCACAGUUUGGUACCAUGUGUAAAUUUGCUGAGGGUGUGUUCUGUCUUUGGGUUGUGAAUAGAGGCAUUAAACAAUGUUAGCCUCGUUACAGACCCCUGAGGAAUGUUAGGAGUAACUGGCUGCCAGUUGGACUUUGUGCUGUUGAUCUCAACUCUCUGGGACUGGAGUCUUGCCAGUUUUCCUAUGCAGCUAUCUGAUGCACAGCAAAAUGAUUUGGCUAUAUGUGUUCUUCAGACAAUUGUGUCCAGAGCCAUCUGAAGUCAAGCUAAACUGCUCUGCUCUCCUCUUGUCUGCCAAGCCAAUCUUCUUAGAAAGUUAUCAGAGUUUUCAGGCACUGUUAACUGUGCUGAUCAUGCUGUCGCUUUCUUGUCCUUUUAUUUUCCCAGCACUAAUUAUUUUCUUGGGGCUCAAGCACUUCUGGUGCCAAGCCAUAUCAUGAGACUUUUCCAUUUCCUGAAGCUGAAUGGGAAAAAAAAAAAAAAAAAAAAGAUAAUUGAGCAAAGAUGGAAAUCCCUCUGAGAAGCUGCUGAACUCCCUCUUUGUGUAGCUUUCUGCCUCCCGAGAUCUCAAGUGCUGCGUGAGGAAAGCAAGUACUCUUCAUUGCCUCAGUGCCUUGUUCUCCAUUUGUGAGGUUGUCUGUGUCUUUUGGGAAAACUGGGAAGACAGCGUGGGUCUGUGAGCGAGGAAGGGGUGCUGCCUUCUCAUCCCUGCUGCCUUUGCACUCCUUGUCUCCUGGGCUCAGCAUGGCCUUUGUGGAGCCUGGGCAGUUCUUGCUGGCAGACUCCUGAUGCUGAACUUGCUGGAAACAGGAACUGCUUGUAACAAUCAGUAUUUUCUUGCAAAGCUUGGUUUUUAAACCAUUUAAACUGACGUGUAACUUACACAGAGCAGCAUCCCACACUGCUUGGAAACCUCUCACUAUUAACUCCCUCCAAGCUGUGUUCUGCUCAGCCCCGGGGUGCGUAGCUUUGUGUGCAGGUUCUCUUUGUCACUGAAGUCUUCCCAUACACUGCAGCCUGAUUUGCUACCCUCUGGCAGCACAAACUUGUUUUAAUUCAGGCUGACUGAACAAUGUGCAGUUCAAUGGGAAGACCUCUUGUGUUUUACCCUGUGUCGACAGUGCUGGGGAUUAUUUUUUUACAGCCUUUAAGAUCUACAGAGGUGGCACAAAGAAAUUGAGUCCUGGAGCAUGUGCUGAUGAUUUCCUGUGCUAGUUGAUGCCUCAGCUGAGAGAUCAGUGGGCAGGGGAGAAUGGGAAUGGCUGCCAUUCUGCACUCUCUUGACUUGCUUUCUUCUCAAAAGAUGUGAUAAAUUAGCAGAAACAUCUCUCAGAAAAUAUUUUUUUCAGAAGUGACCAUCCCAGUCUGUGGGCAUUCAUGGAGAUGAGAGUGCUUUGACUCCCAGCAAUUAUACAGACUGCUGCUUUUGUGUCAGCUCGCACUGCCCCGCGCUGUAACUGCCAGCUGAGGUACAACCGAACGGUGUGAAACAAUUACGUAUUCUUUUCCUCUUUGCCUUUUCUUAAUGCCCCACGUGCAGCCCUUGGUAACGAGGCGCGGCGCAAUGGCGUGCAGUGCAGGCUUUGCUCGCUAGGGGGCAGUGCACCACUGAGCGCCCGCCUCCAGCGCUGCUGCCUGAAAUGCUCCCAGCUGGCGUGCAGCGGGGCGCUGGGGCUGCCUGCCCUGUGCUGACACUCGCGUUACGGUUUGUCUUUACGGCGGGGAUGUGAUACCUGUGGUAUGGAAAAAUAGCGUAUUCUCACCAAGCCUGCUGUGUGACUCGGGGAGGAAUUUUUUACAAUGAAUUCUAAUUAGCUUGAGCAAUCUGGUCCUCUCUGUGUGUUUUUCCGGAGAGAUCAUGGUAACUAAUAGCCCUGAGAGGUUCUCCAGGCUUUUUGGAUGGUUAACAUUUAACUGAAAGUUCAUGUUGAGCUUUGAAGCAACUCGUUUGGAUUGAGGUACAUUAGCAGAUAGACAGAGCACUGGAACUGCAGUGUUGUAGUUGACAGGAGUAGCUCCAAAAUUUGGUUACUGAGGCCAAUGCUAGCAGAGGAAUCAGGUCUGGGUUAUGCAGAAUUAGUGGAAAAAAAAAUGUUUAUAAUGGUAUAAUUUACUUCUGAAGGACCUGACACCAAAAGCAUGGCACAGCAUCAUUUCACAUCACCCAGAUUCCACCUGACACGAUGAUUUGAUGCAGGAAAUCUCUUUGUGGACUGAGGUAAAAGAGGCUGAACAAAUCUGCUUGGACAGAAAGAACAUGAAGAUCCCCCUGGAUAAACACCAGUUGUUCAGGUGGCUGGUGUGGCACAGCAGUUCCUGCAGGAAGGAAUCGGGCACAUUCCUGACCAGUACCACAUCAGAGAGCAGCUAUGAAAAUGCACUGAAGUGAUACUGGUAAGAAAAGCUAAUGAAUGAUAAAUACAAAUCACGGAAUUUCCUCUUGCAAGCAUUUAAAACUUAAAAUGAUUGUAUUUUCUGAUCUUAAUGAUUUUGACAGCCAUGGGACCACAGGGAAGCACCUGUUGGGUUUACAUACUGUGUUCUUCACUACCUCCUCUGCUGUACCUGCAGCACCUGGGCACGCUGCUGUUGGGCUGGACCUGCACUGCUGCUUCUGCACAUGCCCUUCCUUUGCUUCCUCUCCUUUUGGUGUCCUGCUUCUCUGGAUCUCCCCAUGGCUGGGUAACACCUCUGCCUGAUAUCUGCCUGAUAACGUCUUUCUGGAGAAGGCCAUGCCCUGUGCUUGGCACAAACCCUUCCCUGACCAGCACUAGCUUGAGGACCUCGCAGGCAGGAAGAAAAUGUGGUUCUUGCUGAUGCUGUUCCAGUGCCUGGGCAACACCUACCAAAGUUCCUCUAGGCUGGAAAGUGCUCUGAAAGAACGGGAGCAUUUUACUAGGUGUUGCAGUAGAUAUUCCACUGUGUCCUUACUAUGAAAGCUCUGAAUUUCCAUGGAGAUCCUUCCAAUUCAGGCAUUGAAAGCCUGGCACCUUGAUGAGGGAUGGUGAAUGUCCACCAGUGCCUUCAAUAGAACUCUACAAAAAAUCCAGAUGGGAGCAAUUCCAUUGUAUCAUUUACCUCCCAUAAAAGGAAGCUUAUUGUUCAAAAAGAGGGCAGUAUUCUGACAGCCUUCAGUGCCGGAGUUACAGCAGUUACAUCCUGCACUUCUGAAUUAAACCUUAGCUGGUGGUAAAGAAUUGUGAAACCGACCUCCUAGAGGGCACUGACUGCCAACUUUGGCUUUCCAACCCAAUGGCAAUAUUUCUCACAUCAUACCACAGAACUCACAGCUGGGACCAUUGUAAGGGUGGGCCCUGUUAGGCUCCAGGGAUAAAAAUUGAUGGGGACCCAGCAGUUCAAGCUGUGCAUCUUCGUGUGUGUGAAUGCUGAAAGCCUCUGCUUGCUGGCAGAACACUCCGUUCUGCCUCAGUGCUGCAGGCACUUUGAAAAGUGGUCGGGAGUGGUGGGUUGUGGUGCAGAUGGCUGGAAGGAGCCGGGCAUUUAGCUGGGUGACAGAAAGUCUGCAGCAGAUGCCAGGAGGCAGAAACUGGAGUUAUUCCUCUCCAAGAUGCUGCUGGAUGGUUUGGGCUUCCCAGUCACCUGUUGUGGAGAGGUGAAGACUCCAGGGUACACAGACAGCACUUGAGUGCACUAAAUGUAACUUACCUCUCACCCUGCGUUGUGCCUUGGCCGAAGGGCAGCACUGGGCUGUGUGGGGCAGAGCUGUGCCUGUAGCUGUGCUGGGGAUCUCCCAGAGGCAGGGAGAGGUCUGUGUGACAGGGUGAUGUGGAUGGCUUCUUGCAAUAUUGAUAGCUCCAGGGGGGUGUAAAGCAGGAAUGGAGGGCAGCUCCAUCCCAAGGCAGGUCACUGUGCUGAGGACUCCUCAGGCAGGGUUUCAGCUCCGUGUUUGCUGCCAUCUGAGCCCUUCUAGGGCAUCCUCUGCAGUCCUUGCAUUGAGCAGCACCCCAGAAGUGAGCAUCGGUGUCUUCCCCUUCUUCUCCAGGUCCCGUUGAUGUCAGUUCUGUGGCAAGGGAACAAGAAAGAUUCUUGUAUCUGUCCUCGAGUCAAACAGAGCUGUUUCUGGUUCCCAUGUUGUCAUAGAAAAGAAGUCCAGAGCUCAAAAGAUGGUUAUUUUGGAGCUCUGUAUUUUGUUUUUCUUUCCUUUAGCAUCCAUUUGCUGUACCAAAGUUCUGUUGGCUGAUCAGGGUUGGCAGAACUUGCAAGUGGUGAAAUGUUAAUAAAUCCUGGCGAUGAGUCAUUAGCAUACAAAGCAA